AUCAAAGGAAAAUAAACCUCCAUAACCAAUUUGUCCAUAUCAAUCAAUGCUCUAAUCAAAUGAGCAUAGUACAUAAGCCAAAUUUGCAUAGUACAUAAGGAAGAUAUUAGCUUGUCCUAGAGCCAUUUGUCUCAGAAUACCAAUAAUAUGAAAGUAACUAUCAUAACCACCGAAAAGAUCUGAGGUAUCUGAACUAUUAAGACAUGUUUCUCCUGUUCCACACACAACUAGAUUUUACAAGCAUUCAAAAUUUAGUAUAAAAUAAACGCCUCCUAGAGAGGAUUUUCUAGUGUUUUAACUAGUAGUAGUGUUUUAUUACUAACUAUAAACACUAAGAGAACUCCACCAUAUUAGUAGUGAUAUAUGACUAUGACAAAUUGCUUGUCGUUACCGUCACGACUGGGGAGGUCAACGGCAAAGUGGCAUGGAGAGCAGGGCACACCUUGUCAUUGUCGUUGCGAAUGGGAAGGUCGACGAUAAGGUGGCAUGGAGAGGAGGGCACACUUUGUCAUUGUCGUCGCUAUUGGAGAGGUCGUGAGGUGGCAUAGAGGUCAGGGCACACCCACACACACUUGAAAGUCAUCGCCACACAUCUUUGGCUAUUGCUGUGAUCCUGCGGCAACGAGUGAGGCCUUGGAGCACACGGAGCCCCUGGUGUCAAGACUAGUGCAAGAUCCGACCGCAGGGUAGCCCUAGGCAUAAGUCUGGUGGUUGAUGUACCACAUGACGUGGAAGUGGAGCACGAACAUCCGAAUGACAACGAACAGCCAAAGAAAAUAUUCAUGUGAACACAAAAAAAGGGAGUAUCUAGUUAUCUAUCGACAGAUUUUAUAUGGUUAAACCUGCGCGACCCGGUAGCACAAAUCCUAAAAUUAGCACAAUCAAACUUACAGAAAUCUGACAGCUUUAGUAAAAAAAAAUCUAUGAAUAGAUAAAUAGCAAAAAUCAAAAAAUAUAUAUUACAUCAAUGGUGUGAUUUUUUCCUUUGAACAAAUCAACGGUUACAAAUCAUCGAAUCCGGCUAGUAAGGGUGGCUAGAGCCUAGCCAUCCUUAUACAAACGCUCUUACAGCUGUAAGAGCGGUUCAACACCAGCAUCACUAUUGUCGACACCGCCAACAUCACCAUUAUUAUUAUCGACACCACCGGCAUCAUCACCACGUGCUUUAAACAUGUCUGAGUAUUUGAGACAACAAUUGGCCUUCUUUUGCAUCGUCUUCUUAGUCAUCAUCUUUGCCGUCAACAAACAUUACUUCACCAUGAUAAAGUCAUACUGUGUAGUUCAGAACAAAUCCUCGCCUAGUCAGAUGUGAUCUGAUGUUUCCACAUCAUAAGUUGCCAAGUGGUUCUUGCAAUCUUUGCAGGGACAAAUAACUGAACAAUUAGCCGUGCUGACAACGUCUUUGUAUGAUUCACCGUGACUGUCAUAAAUUUGUCCACCUCAUCAGCAUAGGCUUACGAGUACCUUGGCAAACCAUACAUCCAAGUAGCCCUAUUCUCCAUCUUUGCAUAAACAAAAAAAUAAAGUAAUUACUUGAGAAUAAAUAUUAACAACAAUUAUUAGCAAUAAUUGUGUCAGGAAUGAUUAUUAGGCAUAAUUAUUAGCCACAAUCAAUAAGUAACAAUUAUUAUCUACCAUUAUUAGCAACAAUUAUCAGCUAUCAUUACUAGCAAUAAUUGUGUUAGAAACGAUUAUUAGGCAUAAUUAGUAGAACCAAUAUCUACCAUUAUUAGCAACAAUUAAUAUUAGGAACACCUAUUAGUUUACCAAUAAUUAUUCAUGCCAACCACAUUCCAAUUUUAUGAAAAAAAACAAAAAAGAAAACCCUAGAUCUAUAGUGCCUUUUCUCUCCGUACAUGAAACUACAAUUAAUCUCCAUUAAAAUCAAGUUAUAUCACCAAAUUGAUGGUGCAAAGUGAUGUCUUUACCUAAUCUACACUAAUAGCAUCAAAGAUAAUCUCCAAUUUGGUCAACACAAAGCUCAAGCUCCAUGGAAGAGUGAGAAAACCAAAAUGUAAAUUGCUCACUAACCAACUAAUAAAACUUGGAUUAGAGGGUGGGAAUAGCAUUUUCUUACCUUAAACAAGCUCCCCACCAAAAGAUUUGAGUUCAAAACCUCCCCCUUAGUAGAGUAAUUUUAGGUAGGUGUCCAAGGCCUUCCAAGUCUUUUUUUUACGAGUCGAACUGAGUGGCUCGGGGAGAAAGAAAGAUGGACAAGCCACUUAUAGCUACGGACCACUGUAGGGACGCCUGGAUCACCAACCACCACUACAGUGGUUUGUUAUAAGGGCGGCGGUGAUCCAGCCGCCCCUACAGUGACACUGCAGGGGUGGCUGGCUUCCUAGUUGCUGGCCCCG
rnacentral:lncRNA from 1 species